AAACAACUUAUGAUUUCGACAGACAAUGCUUUCUAUAACAUAUUCUUGCUUGAGCUUAAGUUUGAAAGUUUCCUUCACUGCUGUAUGUUGAUUAUUGUAUCAAGGCAUAGGCGCCCGUUCCGGUUUUUGGUACCGUUGGUUUUGAUCGUGAAGACUGGGAAUCUUGGCACAAUGCUGUUUUUGUUGCUGUGAAAACAGAGCACUAGCAUGAUAAAACCGUAUGAUAAGUUUAAAUGCUUGCAAUAUCGCCUUAUCCAUCUUCUAACACCCUGAUUCUAGGAAGUAUCGUCCUGAGAAUUUGGCAAGCCUACCAAGUUCUUGCACUAGCA
rnacentral:misc_RNA from 1 species